GUGGCUCUUUAGCUCAAGCUUGCUGAGAUUCAGUGUGAAAUCUUAGUAAGCUUAGAAUUCUUGGAGCUUUAAUGAAUAUUUUGGAUUUGUUUUCUGCAGAGUAACGGCGCUCUAGGAAGGAGUCUUUUAUGAAAUAUUGCUCUGUUGUUCUCUAGGUUUUUUUAGAAGAAAUCUCUUGUUAUGCAUAUGCUGUGUUUUUGUUAACCUCUCAUCUGUUGUUAUUAUGAAGAAAGGAUUCAGCCUUAAAA
rnacentral:lncRNA from 1 species